AUACGGAGGGGGCUAGCGUUGUUCGGAGUCACUGGGCGUAAAGGGCACGUAGGUUGUUAUGUAAGUCAGAGGUUAAAGGCAUCGGCUUAACCGGUGUAAUGCCUUUGAAACUGUAUAGCUAGAGUACCAGAGAGGAAUGCGGAAUUCCCUGUGUAGCGGUGAAAUGCGUAGAUAUAGGGAGGAACACCAGUAGCGAAGGCGGCAUUCUGGCUGUGUACUGACACUGAUGUGCGAAAGCGUGGGUAGCAAACAGGAUUAGAAACCCCAGUAGUCC
rnacentral:rRNA from 1 species